AAUCAACGCUGGCGGCGUGCCUCAGACAUGCAAGUCGAACGCGAAAUCCCGAGCAAUCGGGAGAGUAGAGUGGCGCACGGGUGAGUAACACGUAGGUAAUCUACCUUCGGAUGGGGAAUAACAACCGGAAACGGUUGCUAAUACCGCAUAAUGCAGCGGCACCUAAUGAUGACAGUUGUUAAAGCGGGGGAUCGAAAGACCUCGCGUCUGAAGAGGAGCCUGCGGCGGAUUAGCUAGUUGGUAAGGUAAUGGCUUACCAAGGCGACGAUCCGUAACCGGCCUGAGAGGGCGGUCGGUCACACUGACACUGACAUACGGGUCAGACUCCUACGGGAGGCAGCAGUGGGAAUAUUGCGCAAUGGGCGAAAGCCUGACGCAGCGACGCCGCGUGGGUGAUGAAGGCCUUC
rnacentral:rRNA from 1 species